CCGUGUGAUCCCAAGAAAAGAUGUUCUUGAUAUUCUCAGUGUCUCUCCUUUGGAUUCAGUUGGCUUGGAUGAGCGCCCAACAACUGGAGCAGAGACCUAGAUUUCUAAGCAUCCAAGAGGGAGAAGAGUGUAAUGUGUACUGCAACUCUUCCAGCAUUUUCUCCAGCUUUCAAUGGUACAGGCAGGAGCUCCAAGGACACCCUGUCCUCUUGGUGACAUUGGUCAAAGGAGGAGAGAUGCAGACACAGAAGAAGCUAACUGUUAAGUUUGAUGAAGCAAGAAAAGGCAGCUCCCUGCAUAUCUCCCCCACCCAGCCUGAGGACAAAGGCUACUUCUGCGCAAGGGCACAGUGCUCUGGUAGCACCUGCUGCCUGCGCCCUAUCCCAUAACUGCUGUGGCCUCCAGCUCC